AAAUUGAAGAGUUUGAUCAUGGCUCAGAUUGAACGCUGGCGGCAGGCCUAACACAUGCAAGUCGAACGGUAACAGGAAGCAGCUUGCUGCUUCGCUGACGAGUGGCGGACGGGUGAGUAAUGUCUGGGAAACUGCCUGAUGGAGGGGGAUAACUACUGGAAACGGUAGCUAAUACCGCAUAAUGUCGCAAGACCAAAGAGGGGGACCUUCGGGCCUCUUGCCAUCGGAUGUGCCCAGAUGGGAUUAGCUAGUAGGUGGGGUAACGGCUCACCUAGGCGACGAUCCCUAGCUGGUCUGAGAGGAUGACCAGCCACACUGGAACUGAGACACGGUCCAGACUCCUACGGGAGGCAGCAGUGGGGAAUAUUGCACAAUGGGCGCAAGCCUGAUGCAGCCAUGCCGCGUGUAUGAAGAAGGCCUUCGGGUUGUAAAGUACUUUCAGCGGGGAGGAAGGUGUUAAGGUUAAUAACCUCAGCAAUUGACGUUACCCGCAGAAGAAGCACCGGCUAACUCCGUGCCAGCAGCCGCGGUAAUACGGAGGGUGCAAGCGUUAAUCGGAAUUACUGGGCGUAAAGCGCACGCAGGCGGUCUGUCAAGUCGGAUGUGAAAUCCCCGGGCUCAACCUGGGAACUGCAUUCGAAACUGGCAGGCUAGAGUCUUGUAGAGGGGGGUAGAAUUCCAGGUGUAGCGGUGAAAUGCGUAGAGAUCUGGAGGAAUACCGGUGGCGAAGGCGGCCCCCUGGACAAAGACUGACGCUCAGGUGCGAAAGCGUGGGGAGCAAACAGGAUUAGAUACCCUGGUAGUCCACGCCGUAAACGAUGUCGACUUGGAGGUUGUGCCCUUGAGGCGUGGCUUCCGGAGCUAACGCGUUAAGUCGACCGCCUGGGGAGUACGGCCGCAAGGUUAAAACUCAAAUGAAUUGACGGGGGCCCGCACAAGCGGUGGAGCAUGUGGUUUAAUUCGAUGCAACGCGAAGAACCUUACCUACUCUUGACAUCCAGAGAACUUUCCAGAGAUGGAUUGGUGCCUUCGGGAACUCUGAGACAGGUGCUGCAUGGCUGUCGUCAGCUCGUGUUGUGAAAUGUUGGGUUAAGUCCCGCAACGAGCGCAACCCUUAUCCUUUGUUGCCAGCGGUCCGGCCGGGAACUCAAAGGAGACUGCCAGUGAUAAACUGGAGGAAGGUGGGGAUGACGUCAAGUCAUCAUGGCCCUUACGAGUAGGGCUACACACGUGCUACAAUGGCGCAUACAAAGAGAAGCGACCUCGCGAGAGCAAGCGGACCUCAUAAAGUGCGUCGUAGUCCGGAUUGGAGUCUGCAACUCGACUCCAUGAAGUCGGAAUCGCUAGUAAUCGUGGAUCAGAAUGCCACGGUGAAUACGUUCCCGGGCCUUGUACACACCGCCCGUCACACCAUGGGAGUGGGUUGCAAAAGAAGUAGGUAGCUUAACCUUCGGGAGGGCGCUUACCACUUUGUGAUUCAUGACUGGGGUGAAGUCGUAACAAGGUAACCGUAGGGGAACCUGCGGUUGGAUCACCUCCUUACCUUAAAGAA
rnacentral:rRNA from 1 species